UACGGAGGGUGCAAGCGUUAUCCGGAUUUACUGGGUUUAAAGGGUGCGCAGGCGGAUAUGUAAGUCAGUGGUGAAAUCUUUAGGCUUAACCCGAAAAUUGCCGUUGAUACUAUAUAUCUUGAAUGUUGUGGAGGUAAGCAGAAUAUGUCAUGUAGCGGUGAAAUGCUUAGAUAUGACAUAGAAUACCUAUUGCGAAGGCAGCUUACUACGCAGAUAUUGACGCUCAUGCACGAAAGCGUGGGGAUCAAACAGG
rnacentral:rRNA from 1 species